GGGGAGCCAUGCCCUGAGGGAGGGGAGCCAUGCACGAGCAGCUUCGGGUGACAGCGGCUCGCUUCAAGAGCAGGUGAAGCUAUUUGGGACAAUGCUGAAGAUGUUUGCUCGCACUGGGCAAUCAGGUGCAGAUCAGACCCUAGUGCUGCGACGUCUUGGAGAGUUUGGCGAUGUUGUGCGUAGCAUGGAAAACAAAAUGGACACUAUGCUGCAACAUUUCAGUGCCAAUGUGUCUGUUGGAGAGCUAUCCCUGCCAAGGGAUGUUACUCCCCCUAGAAACCCAGGAAGAUUUGGUGUUUCUUGACAGCAUUUUGAGGGAGGAUAAAGAGCUCCAGGAACGAUUUGUAAGUGUGUUGCUUUCGUUUAUAAGGCCGUAGGGUAAUCUAAAAAGUCAAAUUAAGUUUGUACACUGUAUAUUCUACAGUCUAAAUCCACAGCCUGUCACAUUUUAUAUUUAUGUAUGAGAAGCUUGCGAGAAAUGUAAUUUAACACAUUUUUGGAUUUUCAGCUUCGGUUUUUGGCUAUCAAAUGUGGGAGGGACCUGAAGACAACAGUGUGGAGAAUGCUUCAGAGUAUUUUCUCUAAUAACCUUGCCGUUAAUACAACCUGGACUGGUAUAGGGGAUAAAACCUGUUUUAGAGACCUGUUCCUGAAGACCAUUGUUCAAAGUAAUUUUUUUAAGUAGAUGCCCUUCUGCCUUAUGCCAUUCAAAUGUAAUGACAGA